GCCGACAUAGCUCAGGGGUAGAGCAACCGCCUUGUAAGCGGUAGGUCGUGGGUUCAAAUCCUACUGUCGGCA
rnacentral:tRNA from 1 species